CUUACCUGUUAUGUGACCUUCCCCUCAAAUUACUCACUGUUCCUGAUAGAGCUGCAGGCAAGUAAUUGUGUUCUGUAGGUGGCACAAGAAGAGUGGAAGUACAGCCUCUGCCCCUGACAUCUUGCAGUCAGAGAGGGAACAUAAGGAGCCAAAGGGACACAACUUCACCUUGUGUAGCUGUUUCAGGCAAAAUACAUAUGAAAUAUUUCAUACUACACCGUGGAUGCAUCAUGGAUGCUUGGACUACAGGACAAGAGCUUGUCAGGCCAUUCUCUGCAGAAAGAGUGCCUCUACCUCCAUGUCCAGGAGUGGAGUGAACGUCAUCAGUCACUGAAAACCACCCCAAACACCCACAGAUCCACAGAAUGGUUGACUUCCAGAGGGACAUCUUGGACCCAGGUGUCCCAGGACUGGCUUCCAUUAUGGCAGAAGCAGGACUACAGCCCACAGCUGCUGGCGGAGUGAAGACUCCCACUGUGCUGUUCUGUUUCAGCAUAAUGUACCUGGUUUGUGUUCCCUCCUGAACUCUAAUGCUUUAAGCAGUUAGAUUCAACACUUUGAAAGGGUAGAUAACAGUGGAAUAAGGGGAAAUGUUUUUAAGUUGAAGGAGGGAAGAUUUAGGUUGAAUGUCAAGGGGAAGUUCUUUACUGUGAGAGUGGUGAGGUGAUGGAACAGGUUGCCCAGAGAGGCUGUGGAUGCCAUGUCUCUGGAGGUGUUCAAGGCCAGGUUGGAUGGGGCCCGCGGUAGCCUGGUCUGGAAUUAAAUGUGGAGGUUGGUGGCCCUGCCUGUGGUGGCGGGGUUGGAGCUCCAUGAUCCUUGAGGUGCCUUCCAACCUGGGCCAUUCUGUAAUUCUGUGAUUUACUUAAUGCAUGCACCAGUAAUCUGGGAUUUGAACAACUUUCAGAAUUUGGACAGCAGUAUCAAAACCACACACAGUUUUUUUAGCAGGACAAUUGGUUGUUAAUGAUUACUUAG
ensembl:lncRNA